rnacentral:rRNA from 1 species
UGGUGGAGUGAUUUGUCUGGUUAAUUCCGUUAACGAACGAGACCUCGACCUGCUAACUAGGUCCCGGAAUCCUCGGAUUCCGGCGACACUUCUUAGAGGGACUAUCGGUGUUUAGCCGAAGGAAGUUCGAGGCAAUAACA